AGCAGCCGCGGUAAUUCCAGCUCCAAUAGCGUAUAUUAAAGUUGCUGCAGUUAAAAAGCUCGUAGUUGAAUUUCGGGACCAUCAUGUCGGUCGUGCCUCGGUACGUACUGGCAUUGUUGGUUUCUACCUUCUGACGAACCAUGAUGUCAUUUAUUUGGUGUCGUGGGAAAUCAGGACUGUUACUUUGAAAAAAUUAGAGUGUUUAAAGCAGGCUCACGCUUGAAUACAUUAGCAUGGAAUAAUGAAAUAGGACGUUUGAUUCUAUUUUGUUGGUUUCUAGGAUCGACGUAAUGAUUAAUAGGGAUAGUUGGGGGCAUUAGUAUUCAAUUGUCAGAGGUGAAAUUCUUGGAUUUAUUGAAGACUAACUACUGCGAAAGCAUUUGCCAAGGAUGUUUUCAUUAAUCAAGAACGAAAGUUAGGGGAUCGAAGACGAUCAGAUACCGUCGUAGUCUUAACCAUAAACUAUGCCGACUAGGGAUCGGAUGAUGUUAAUUUUUUUAAUGACUCAUUCGGCGCCUUA
rnacentral:misc_RNA from 2 species